CCUGCCUGGGCGUCUCCUCCCGCUCUUCCUUACCUAUCAGGAGCAGCCGGGCAGCCUGGGAGCGCCAGCCUGGGAAUUAGGAGACCCGGCCCCUGACCCCGCCGCGUACCGGGCAGAUUCCCGCUCUCCUCAGCGCGUCUUUCACUGCCGUUUGUAGACAACAGAUAAUAUGAGGAUUGAGGCACUGAGAGCAGCAGAAAUAGCAGCAAGGAGUGUCUUCUGGACAUGAUGGUUGGGUAAACAGAACAAAGCCUACUUAAUGUGAAGACAAGGAGGAUGAAGACCUUAAUGAUGAUCCACUCUCACUUAAUGAAUAUAGAGACGGGGUCUCACUCUUGCUCAG